rnacentral:lncRNA from 1 species
GUUUGAAAUUCCUGUAAAAUCUUACAUUAAUCGACACAACCAGACGUAUUAAAAAUCCGCUCACUUCUCGAAUUUACCGACGUUUGAACAGAAGUCGAAACCUUUCAAUGCUUUCUUUCAGAUUGAACUUAAGUCGUGCUUCUAAAACAAUUUCGCAAAGUUGCAUCCAUUUAGGCGCUUAUUUUAGAAGAAUACGGAUGAAAUAUUUAAGUCCGCGUCUUUUUUUUUUUUUCUUUUACCUCUUUUCAAUUAAAGUAUAUGCUCGGAAUUGUUUGUGCCAAAUUUUAUUUUUCGCAGCUUAAAGGCAAUCUCGGAUUUCUGCACUAUAUAAAUUUUUCAGGAUUGUGUCAUACCAAAUUCCUCAACACACUCUCCAAACAAACUUCCCGCCCAAAUCCCAUAGUUCAUUAUAGAAUGAUGUCAUUUGGAGCGCUAUCGUUUACCUGCCGUCCCAUUACAAAGCAACCACAUCACUUUUUAUUACGGCGUCUGUCUUCAAUUAUCAAAGCGAAACGGGGGGUGGGCAAUUCAACGCGUGCGACGAAGGUAAGCCUUUUACACUCGCGCAGUCACGUACUAAGGCACCGAGAGAACAUCUGUGGACGAAACGUGAAAUAAAUCACCAAAGAGAACCAAGUGUUGUAAGUAGUUCUAGUGAGAUUUGAAGAAUGGAAUCGAGGGGAAAGGAGGAAGUUUUCCACUUAAUAUGAAAACGCGCAUCUGUAAUUAAAGCUGUUUGUUUAAACUCCAAAGAAAAAUUUCUCUUCGUAGUUUACCGGAAGGAUAAAAAAAAAUAAUAAUAUUAAUAUUAAGUUAUAGUCUCUUCUAGUUCAAAUAAUUAGAAUAGGUUAAUAUUUUAAUGGCUGUUUAAAAUAUUGAUAUAGUUUUAAGUUGUUAAUUGAGUAUGCAAAUCAACCUCUUACAAUCCCAGAUCGACUGAUAAGUUUUCUAAAUGUUCCCUUUAUAUCUUUAAGAAUUUUAAGUAAAGUUGAUGUACUGGCUCUUAAGAAGACUUUUAUUUUCUGGAGAAAUGAUGGCAACCCAUCGUCACAGGAUUCAAAAAUCUCCAAUUUUGAUAAAUAAUUAUUAAACGAGUGGAUAUCCUUUCUAAUUGUAUACGACGAAUGAUGCUACUUGGAUUACUGGCGAUUUUAUGAUUUUCUUCGAUCUUAAAUAAAAAAAAAGGGACCAAAUCCAAAUUUCUCCUUUGUUAAUCGUUAAAUGCACAAUUUUUAUGCACAGAUGUGGAGAUUUUUAACGCUUUACCGGUUUACAAAUUUUAUUUUGGCUAGUUGGAGACGAUGUAAUGCGGCUGACGUUUAGCGAUUAGAACCGAAUUUUUAUAUUGUUUAUCCACCAUAACAAUACGUCGUCUUAGCCAGACGAGAGAUUUUCUGGUGGCUCUCCCUCGUAUUAAAUCUUAGCGUUAAGUCUCAGGUAAGGAAACCCGGUGUUCCCCGGUGUCAUUUUAGAUCCACCCCGGGGAUUCCUGGGAUACAAUUAAACCACCACCGACCCCACGUUUGUCCCGUGAAUGGCAAUUGAUUUAUUGAUGGUUAAUUUGGAAAGUGCAUCUGUUACCAUGGUUACUCCCCCGGUCUACGGAGGGGAAGAAAGAGACAGAGAGAGAGAGAGGAGAGAAGAGAGGCGAACCCUUUACACCACAGAGCGAAGUAAAAGCACGUUUCUCCACACAGUUUGAUUUUCUAUAAGCGAAUUUGUAUCGACUGGCGAGUAAAGGAAACGGCUGUAAGGCGAUGAAGCAGUUAUGGCUGACGUGGACGGCGUUGCCAACUUGAUCACCGAAAGUGGAUUUUCUUCGCCCGCUUUUUGUCUUUCGAAUCGCUACAGUCUCAGACCAGCGCCUCCCAUUUCGUUCCUUCUCUUUAUUUUCCUUUUUUUUUUCUUUUUCUUUUUUCCUCCCUAGCUUUGUCAUUGCUUCCAGAUGUUUCGUCGUAUCUCUGUCGAAUGUUAAAUCUUCUUUUCGUCCCGUUUGCGGCGCGAAGAAUUAUCCGAUGUGUCGCUGAGCUUUUCUGUUUGUUUUGUCGUUCCUGUAUUAUUCUUUUUCGUUCCUUUUAUUGUUUCGUAUCGCCAAAUAGGUACGUUUUCUUUUAUUCCCCUUCUAUCCCCCUACACACACACACACAUUUAAGUAACAGUUUGUCUUCGAUCGCAAUCGGGAUUUUCCCGUCUUGUUAAAUCGUGAACAGAAUUGCGGGCCUGGCUUUUGUUAUGUUUACGUCCUUGAACAACCAUCACGAUUGUUUCCCACUUAGCAUUUAUCAUUAAAUAUAUUUUUGACGAGUUCUCAUUAUAAAAACACAAUAACGUCUCUCCUUUUUCCUUUUAAACAAAACUUUUAACUAAAAUUAAUAAUUUUAUAUAUUAAGAUCGCACGCAUCAGAUUCCGCAACGCCGCGCGCGACACACGCUUCGAUUCCGUAAAAGUUAAUUUAAAAAAAUGCAGUAAUACAGACGCACUAUCAGUAUCGUGCGCGUAAUAUACUGGCGAAGAUUUAGGAAUUAAACCCGAGUCGAAAGGAAAAAUAAAAUAAAAGCGGUAGAAAAGUUAUGUAGAGCGACGACCGGAUCCGUGGCGCGUGGGACGAAAAUAUUGUACGCGAAUUCGCUGCGCGACACUUCCCGUCACGUGACGCCAACUCUAUCUGAUACCAGUAAAAGAAGAAAGGAACCGCCCGAUCCUGAAUUUUGCAAAUGUUCAGUCCGAAGUUUGUAGUCUUUUUUUUUUAUUUUUUAUUCCCUCCGAAAACAGACGACGACAAAUUCUAUUUUCUAGCAACUGUUUUUGAAUAUUAAAAACGACGCUUUUUUUUAUUUUUUGACACAUUUCCACCAUCGACUUUAUGC